rnacentral:rRNA from 1 species
GAUGAACGCUGGCGGCGUGCCUAAUACAUGCAAGUCGAGCGAACAGACGAGGAGCUUGCUCCUCUGACGUUAGCGGCGGACGGGUGAGUAACACGUGGAUAACCUACCUAUAAGACUGGGAUAACUUCGGGAAACCGGAGCUAAUACCGGAUAAUAUAUUGAACCGCAUGGUUCAAUAGUGAAAGACGGUUUUGCUGUCACUUAUAGAUGGAUCCGCGCCGCAUUAGCUAGUUGGUAAGGUAACGGCUUACCAAGGCGACGAUGCGUAGCCGACCUGAGAGGGUGAUCGGCCACACUGGAACUGAGACACGGUCCAGACUCCUACGGGAGGCGGCAGUAGGGAAUCUUCCGCAAAGGGCGAAAGCCUGACGGAGCAACGCCGCGUGAGUGAUGAAGGUCUUCGGAUCGUAAAACUCUGUUAUUAGGGAAGAACAAAUGUGUAAGUAACUAUGCACGUCUUGACGGUACCUAAUCAGAAAGCCACGGCUAACUACGUG